rnacentral:tRNA from 1 species
GUCUCUGUGGCACAGUGGGUCACCGCGUUCGGCUGCUAACCGAAAGGAUGGUGGUUUGAGCCCACCCAGGGAUG